rnacentral:tRNA from 1 species
UUCUCUGUGGCUUAGUUGCUUAAAGCGCUUGAAUAGCGAUACGGACGGAGUCGUGGGUUCAAAUCCCACCAAAACAA